GUUGCAGGCGCAGCCACUUCUGCCCGCCCGGUCGGAGAGCCCCGGCGUUGGCGCAUCUGGGAACAGACAGCCGCGCGCCGGUGGCUGGAAUGCUCUACUCGCCUCCGCCGCGCUGGUCAGCCCAGCAGAAUCCCAAAGGUCCCCUCCUCCUAGCCAGGCUCAACUGAAUUUGGAGACUGGGCGGGACGCCAUCCCCCACAGCUUCCUGUGAUGUCAGGAUUAUCAUCCUCAUUGGACUUAAUGAGGAAACCUGGAUACCCAAGGUCACACAGCUCACGGGAGGCAGAGCAAGGACUGGAAGACACUGACCACAUGAGAGAAGCCCCAGGCAGAUGUUGGUCAGACAGACAGACAUGGCUAAACAAAAGCUGCUGUGAUAAUUGCGCUCCUUCUGGUGUUUGGGGAGAGUACAUACAUAUCCCUGUCUGCUGUUGGGACAGCAUUUGUCCUGAGCUGUGACUCUCAGAGCCACCCAAACCUCUCUCCAUGGUCUGCCUGUGACCCACAGCCUCCCGGGGUUUGGAGACAUCUGGGGUCAAGAAGCAGGAAGCUGACCCAGUUGGAACAGUUAUCUUGCUCUCCUGGCUAGCUGCUGGGUCCCCCACUUUCUUCCUGGGGAAGGGGAGACAGCCAGGGUUAGCAGGCAGAGCCCAAGGUGGGCACUCAAUGAGGGCAGGGGUCCCACCUGAAUCAGCUUUCUAAGUCCUGUGAUGACACAUGGGCUCCAGGCCAGACGUUAUCUCUUGGACCAUCCUAAAUAGGAAUGACCAGCAUGUCCGAUCCAGUUGUAAGCAGGAAAGGGAUGAGGGAUGGUUUUCCCACUCCAGGGGAGUGUCCAGAGGGAAUGUGGGAGCAGGAGCAGGGGCGCCUGGGUCAGGGGGAGGGCCCCAUCUCAGGAAUGCAUGAGAGUGCCAGACAGAUCUGGGAGAUGGAAUGGGGAUGGAGGGAGACAUGGAGACUAGAAGUUUCUCUGGGAUGCAGCGAUGCCUAAGAAAAAUCCCAAGUUCAUGCCAAAGGCCUGAAAUCCUCUGGUUUCAGUGACAUUAUCAUCCAUAGCCUCAUCUCAUCCCUCAGUUGACUUUAUCAUGUCAAUUCUUCCCCGUGGAGAAGGGACCCACUUAGAAAGGCAGAGAAACUAGGGCAUGCAAAUAACAUGUGUAAUGAGGACUCAGGGUCAAUUUUUGAUAUGUGACUGCUGACAGCUUUUAAGCCUCACUUUCCUCUUCACUCCUUGUGUCCCAUAGGACAAGCCAACCAGAAAGCCUGGGUGCUGUGCCUUUGGUGUCCGUGGGAGAUCUGAACCAUGCAAGCCGCUGUGGGUGCAAAUGCUCAGCCUGACCCCAGACCCUAACCACGGUCCCAAACACCAGGCAGGCUCCUCUCCCAGCUCUCUCCAGCUGUUUCUCCUGCUUGAGAGGCUGGCCCUGCUCUCCUCAGAGACCUCGACUAUGUGAAUAACAAAACUUUCAUCCUC